rnacentral:rRNA from 1 species
UUUUAUGGAGAGUUUGAUCCUGGCUCAGGAUGAACGCUGGCGGCGUGCCUAAUACAUGCAAGUCGAGCGAACGGACGAGAAGCUUGCUUCUCUGAUGUUAGCGGCGGACGGGUGAGUAACACGUGGAUAACCUACCUAUAAGACUGGGAUAACUUCGGGAAACCGGAGCUAAUACCGGAUAAUAUUUUGAACCGCAUGGUUCAAAAGUGAAAGACGGUCUUGCUGUCAC